GGAUAUGGAUGUUCAUUAUAGAAUGAGUUCACUAAUUGACCUGAGAGAAUAUCAAAUGGAGUCUUAUUGACAUGUCAACUGAUGAUUUUUUAGUGGGAGUUGUAUAAGUGAUCCUUAGACCUGAGGUCACCAUGGUACCUUGUGUAUAUGGAUUCAUAUUUUGAUUUAUUACCUAACUUGAUUCUUUGAUCCUUGUGUGGGAUGUUCUGGAUAUGGUGAAGUGUGCAUGA
rnacentral:lncRNA from 1 species